GCCACAAGCCGAGGAAUGCAGAAGCCGGAAAAGAUUGGGAGUCCUCCUCUUGAUCCUACGGAGCAUUUUCUUCCUGAAGAAGAGAAACUUGCUGAACAAGAAAGAUCAAAAAGAUUUGAGAAGGUUUAUACUCAUAACCUAUAUUACCUGGCUCAAGUCUACCAGCACAUGGAAAUGUUUGAGAAGGCUGCCCAUUAUUGCCAUAGUACCCUAAAACGCCAGCUUGAGCACAAUGCCUACCAUCCUAUGGAGUGGGCUAUUAAUGCUGCUACCUUGUCACAAUUUUACAUCAAUAAGCAAUGCUUUAUGGAGGCCAGGCACUGUUUAUCAGCUGCUAAUGUCAUUUUUGGUCAAACUGGAAAGAUCCGAACCACAGAAGACACUACUGAAGCUGAAGGAGAUGUGCCAGAGCUUUAUCACCAAAGAAAAGGGGAAAUAGCAAGAUGCUGGAUCAAAUACUGUUUGACUCUCAUGCAGAAUGCCCAACUUUCCAUGCAGGACAACAUAGGGGAGCUUGAUCUUGAUAAACAAUCUGAACUUAGAGCUUUAAGGAAGAAAGAACUAGAUGAGGAAGAAAAUGUUAGGAAAAAAGCUGUACAGUUUGGAACCGGCGAACUGUGUGAUGCCAUCUCUGCAGUGGAAGAGAAAGUGAGCUAUUUGAGACCUUCAGAUUUUGAAGAAGCCAGAGAGCUUUUCUUAAUGGGUCAGCACUAUGUUUUUGAGGCAAAAGAGUUCUUUCAGAUUGAUGGUUAUGUCACUGACCAUAUUGAAGUUGUCCAGGACCACAGUGCUCUGUUUAAGGUGCUUGCAUUCUUUGAAACUGACAUGGAGAGAAGGUGCAAGAUGCAUAAACGCAGAAUAGCUAUGCUAGAGCCCCUAAUUGUGGACCUGAAUCCACAGUAUUAUUUGUUGGUCAACAGACAGAUUCAGUUUGAAGUUGCACAUGCUUAUUAUGAUAUGAUGGAUUUGAAGAUUGCCAUAGCUGACAAGCUGAGGGAUCCUGAUUCACACAUCGUGAAAAAAAUAAAUAGUCUUAAUAAGUCAGCAUUGAAGUACUACCAGCUCUUCUUAGACUCCCUGAGAGACCCAAAUAAAGUAUUUCCUGAGUAUAUAGGGGAAGAUGUUCUUCGCCCUGCCAUGUUAGCUAAGUUUCGAGUUGCCCGUCUCUAUGGCAAAAUCAUCACUGCAGAUCCCAAGAAAGAGCUAGAAAAUUUGGCAACAUCACUGGAACAUUACAAAUUUAUUGUUGAUUACUGUGAGAAGCACCCUGAAGCUGCCCAGGAAAUAGAAGUUGAACUAGAACUUAGCAAAGAGAUGGUCAGUCUUCUUCCAACAAAAAUGGAGAGGUUCAGAAACAAGAUGUCCCUGACUUAAUAAUCCUUGUUUUUAAUAACAAAAAAUGUGCACUAAUGGAUUUUUUUCCCCUUAUUCAAACAGGCCCAAUUCCAUUAUGAUGUCUACCUUCAUAGCCAGAUCAGUGCUGUUUGAACUUGAAAUAGACCAAUUGAGUUUUUGCUAGGACCUUAAUCAACAAUAAUUUAUACCUAACUAUGUAAAUAAAUUGCCUUGUUAAAGUGACAUGUGAUUGGUAUUUAGAUUGCUCGUUUCCUAUUUAAAUAUAAACCUUUUCUGCCUCAUUUUCUAAAAGUAGGUUCUUUGUUGGCUAAUACUUGAUGGAUUCAUUAAAAGGAAAAGUGCUGGGUAAUAUACCUGGUGGGCAAGCUGUUACUGUAUUAAAGUUGAAAAAAUAACUUCUUGUAGUUAUUCUUCCCAAAAUAUUUGCUUUCCUAAAUUCCCAAAGAAAUCUUUCCCUUCUGGAAUAUUAAAAAAACUAAGUUAUGUUGUAAAAUAUUGUAGUUUGUUUCAUUAUAGAGGAAGAAGGCCAUGUUGGAAAUAUAAUAAAUUGACUUGCUUCACUAAUAAAA